UACGUAGGGGGCAAGCGUUGUCCGGAAUUAUUGGGCGUAAAGAGCGCGUAGGCGGUCCGAUAAGUCGGAUGUGAAAUCCCUCGGCUCAACCGAGGAACUGCAUCCGAUACUGGCGGGCUUGAAUCCGGGAGAGGGAUGUGGAAUUCCAGGUGUAGCGGUGAAAUGACGUAGAUAUCUGGAGGAACACCAGCGGCGAAGGCGGCAUCCUGGACUGGUCCUGACACUCAGGAGCGAAAGCGUGGGGAGCGAUCCGG
rnacentral:rRNA from 1 species